UACGUAGGGGGCAAGCGUUGUCCGGAAUCACUGGGCGUAAAGGGUGCGUAGGCGGUUUGGCAAGUCCGGGGUGAAAGGCUCCAGCUCAACUGGGGUAAUGCCUUGGAAACGGCUGAACUUGAGUACUGGAGAGGCAAGGGGAAUUCCACGUGUAGCGGUGAAAUGCGUAGAUAUGUGGAGGAAUACCAGUGGCGAAGGCGCCUUGCUGGACAGUGACUGACGCUGAGGCACGAAAGCGUGGGGAGCAAACAGG
rnacentral:rRNA from 1 species